UACAGAGGUCUCAAGCGUUGUUCGGAUUCAUUGGGCGUAAAGGGUGCGUAGGCGGCGCGGUAAGUCGGGUGUGAAAUCUCGGAGCUUAACUCCGAAACUGCAUUCGAUACUGCCGUGCUUGAGGACUGGAGAGGAGACUGGAAUUUACGGUGUAGCGGUGAAAUGCGCAGAUAUCAGGAAGAACACCCGUGGCGAAGGCGGCUCUCUGGGACGGUACUGACGCUGAGACGCGAAAGCGUGGGGAGCGAACAGG
rnacentral:rRNA from 1 species